AACGAACGCUGGCGGCAGGCCUAACACAUGCAAGUCGAACGCCCCGCAAGGGGAGUGGCAGACGGGUGAGUAACGCGUGGGAACCUUCCCUUUGGUACGGAAUAAUUCACCGAAAGGUGGACUAAUACCGCAUACGCCCGAGAGGGGAAAGAUUUAUCGCCAAAGGAUGGGCCCGCGUUGGAUUAGCUAGUUGGUGAGGUAACGGCUCACCAAGGCGACGAUCCAUAGCUGGUCUGAGAGGAUGAUCAGCCACACUGGGACUGAGACACGGCCCAGACUCCUACGGGAGGCAGCAGUGGGGAAUAUUGGACAAUGGGCGAAAGCCUGAUCCAGCAAUGCCGCGUGAGUGAUGAAGGCCUCGGUUGUAAG
rnacentral:rRNA from 1 species